ensembl:lncRNA
CCCCCCAGGACCCAUGGCAAAGGCCAGCGGUUUCUCUAGGGAACUGGCCUAACUGGGCGAGGACUUUUUGAACCAGACUUCAGAGCGGAAUUUUUUUCUCUCAAAAUAGAGAGGAAUUGGCUGUCCAGGAGUUAAAGAUAGAAUCCUGUGGCGAGACCAAGGUCUGAUCCCCGUCCCAGCUGGCAAAGGGAGCUGUGGAGGCCUGGCCUCUGGGGCUCCGAGGGGCUGCAGCUGGCGCUGAGUCACAUGACCAGCACCCCCAGCCCUCACCCCUCCCCUGGGCUGGGGACAGCAGCAAAUCAGGACUCAGCAGUGAGCCAUCUGUCCUGAGAGGGAGUGAAGACUGGGGGCCUCGAGGGGCUCAGUGAUAGAGCCAGGUCACCUUCCAUGGAGGGUCUCUGGAGGGCUUCCUGGAGGCGGGGAUCCCACGGAGGCAACAAGGCACGCCAGGAAGCGGGAACUCCCAGCAGCUCAGGGCCUGAAUUUCGGAGAUUUGUAGGCAGGGGUGGGCGGUCAGCUUGGGGCCAGCAGGGCUGGGAUGUCCUCUCUGGGGUGCAUUGUAUUUGUGGACAGUGAGGAGCCACUGCAAGUCCUGGUGCAAUGGGGCACCGGGGAGUGUCAGGCAACGGGGAACCUGCCCGAGUGAAGGCCCUGCCCCGAGGGGUCCAGCGUGGGCAGGCAGAGUUGGCAGCACCGUGGACGAGCCUGGCCCUGUGCACAGAGCUCCCUGCACCCAAGGGAUCCGAGGGCCAGAGAGGCCAUGGAGGGGCUCAGGGCUGGACCAGAGACCACGGUGGCUUCCAGCUGCCAGCACAGGACUGAGUGACUGUCGCAGAGCUCACACGGCCCGAAGGCGCAAACACGCACCCUCUGCCCUUGACAGAGAAAGUCGGCACAUCCACGGCAGACGUGAAGCAAAAUGCAGCGAAAUUCUUAGGAAGAAAUGUGUUUAAGCGACGUAAGGAUUCACGGGCACGUUUCUGGAAAGAGUCAUCAGGAGGGUCAGGUUGUUUCUUGACCAGUCGCGGCGCCUGGGGUGUGGGCGCAUCUUGUCACACAAGGAAAAAGACAGAGCUGUGCCCCUGGGACGCCUGACUCCUCAGCAAGCGGUGCGAGGGGCUCUUGGUUAAGAAGGUAACGAGCAGGUCUCUCCCCAGGGCUGGGAACCACCUAUGCCCAGGACCUGCCCCCUAUCGUUGUCCCACCUCUGGUCACCCACCCAGGACCCCCGAUCCAGCUGGCCACCUACCGGGGGCCCUCCAGCGGUGUGCGGGGCGGGCGCAGCUGCUAAGGGACGCAGUGCACCUGUGGAGCCCCGGCCACUCCCCUCCUCCCUCUCUGGCGCUCGGCCUGAGCCCCCACGGUGGAGGGCCACACCCUGGGGCUGUGCCUGCCCACCCAGAGC